UAGUGGCGGACGGCUGAGUAACGCGUAGGUGACCUACCCCGAAGUGGGGAAUAACUGCCCGAAAGGGUGGCUAAUACCGCAUGCGGUGAUGCGUUCGUUCACAUCAUCAAAGCCGCAAGGCGCUUCGGGAGGGGCCUGCGUCCGAUUAGCUCGUUGGUGGGGUAACGGCUCACCAAGGCGACGAUCGGUAGGUGGUCUGAGAGGAUGAUCACCCAGACUGGGACUGAGACACGGCCCAGACUCCUACGGGAGGCAGCAGUCGGGAAUUUUGCUCAAUGGGCGAAAGCCUGAAGCAGCAACGCCGCGUGAGGGAUGAAGGCCUUCGGGUUGUAAACCUCUUUUGUCAGGGAAGAUGAUGACGGUACCUGACGAAUAAGUCACGGCUAACUACGUGCCAGCAGCCGCGGUAAUACGUAGGUGACGAGCGUUGUCCGGAUUUACUGGGCGUAAAGAGCGCGCAGGCGGUCGUUCAAGUCGAGUGUGAAAGCCCCCGGCUCAACUGGGGAGGGUCACGCGAUACUGAUCGACUCGAAGGCAGGAGAGGGUAGUGGAAUUCCCGGUGUAGUGGUGAAAUGCGUAGAUAUCGGGAGGAACACCAGUGGCGAAGGCGACUACCUGGCCUGUUCU
rnacentral:rRNA from 1 species